rnacentral:rRNA from 1 species
UGCAAGUCGAGCGGAAACGACUUAACUGAACCUUCGGGGGACGUUAAGGGCGUCGAGCGGCGGACGGGUGAGUAAUGCCUGGGAAUAUGCCUUGAUGUGGGGGAUAACUAUUGGAAACGAUAGCUAAUACCGCAUAAUGCCUUCGGGCCAAAGAGGGGGACCUUCGGGCCUCUCGCGUCAAGAUUAGCCCAGGUGGGAUUAGCUAGUUGGUGAGGUAAAGGCUCACCAAGGCGACGAUCCCUAGCUGGUCUGAGAGGAUGAUCAGCCACACUGGAACCGAGACACGGUCCAGACUCCUACGGGAGGCAGCAGUGGGGAAUAUUGCACAAUGGGCGCAAGCCUGAUGCAGCCAUGCCGCGUGUGUGAAGAAGGCCUUCGGGUUGUAAAGCACUUUCAGUCGUGAGGAAGGUAGUGUAGUUAAUAGCUGCAUUAUUUGACGUUAGCGACAGAAGAAGCACCGGCUAACUCCGUGCCAGCAGCCGCGGUAAUACGGAGGGUGCGAGCGUUAAUCGGAAUUACUGGGCGUAAAGCGCAUGCAGGUGGGUGAUUAAGUCAGAUGUGAAAGCCCGGGGCUCAACCUCGGAACAGCAUUUGAAACUGGUCACCUAGAGUACUGUAGAGGGGGGUAGAAUUUCAGGUGUAGCGGUG